GAGUGUGGGAACUCGAUACAGCAACUAAAACAAUCCAUCCAUCUGAAUGCUACGCGGGGCAACUGAGAGGAAUCAGCGUGUGUGUUCAGAUGACAGACGAUGAUGGUGAUUUUCAUCUUGGCACGACGAGUGGAGAUGUCCUGAAAGUGAACACAAGCAGCAAGUGACUGAAGGUCGAGCAACCUGCGGGAGAACCAUCACAAAGCGGAUUCUCAGACUAACGCUUUUCCUGCGCUGUCAGGAACGACCCCUGAACGACCACCAGAGGACACUGCGCAUGCUUAGAGUAGUUCCAAGGUGUUGCAGCUGAUAUUGUGAAAUAAUUGUGUAACCUAAUGAAUAUGCAAUAUACACGUUGUAACUUCAAUGAAUAUGUAUGUAACCAAAUUGUAUAAAAUGGUGAAGUUUGAAUCAGUGGUCGGAACCAGCUUUGGGUGCGAGCCCCUGGUUUCCCAGCGCUGAAAUAAAGCACCGCAUAUAACUAC